UCGAGCGGCAGCGGGAGGUGCUUGCAUCUCGCCGGCGAGCGGCGGACGGGUGAGUAAUGCAUAGGAAUCUGCCCGGUAGUGGGGGAUAACCUGGGGAAACCCAGGCUAAUACCGCAUACGUCCUACGGGAGAAAGCAGGGGAUCUUCGGACCUUGCGCUAUCGGAUGAGCCUAUGCCGGAUUAGCUGGUUGGUAGGGUAAUGGCCUACCAAGGCAACGAUCCGUAGCUGGUCUGAGAGGAUGAUCAGCCACACUGGGACUGAGACACGGCCCAGACUCCUACGGGAGGCAGCAGUGGGGAAUAUUGGACAAUGGGCGCAAGCCUGAUCCAGCCAUGCCGCGUGUGUGAAGAAGGCUUUCGGGUUGUAAAGCACUUUCAGUGGGGAAGAAGGCCUGUCGGCUAAUACCCGGCAGGAACGACAUCACCCACAGAAGAAGCACCGGCUAACUCCGUGCCAGCAGCCGCGGUAAUACGGAGGGUGCGAGCGUUAAUCGGAAUUACUGGGCGUAAAGCGCGCGUAGGCGGCGUGAUAAGCCGGUUGUGAAAGCCCCGGGCUCAACCUGGGAACGGCAUCCGGAACUGUCAUGCUAGAGUGCAGGAGAGGAAGGUAGAAUUCCCGGUGUAGCGGUGAAAUGCGUAGAGAUCGGGAGGAAUACCAGUGGCGAAGGCGGCCUUCUGGACUGACACUGAC
rnacentral:rRNA from 1 species